AUUGAACGCUGGCGGUAGGCCUAACACAUGCAAGUCGAACGGAGUGGCGGACGGGUGAGUAAUGUCUGGGAAACUGCCUGAUGGAGGGGGAUAACUACUGGAAACGGGCGCUAAUACCGCAUACUAUCAGAUGAGCCUAAGUCGGUUUAGCUAGUUGGUGUGGCAAAGGACUACCAAGGCGACGAUCCGUAACUUGUCUGAGCGGAUGAUCAGUCACACUGUAACUGUGACACGGUCCAGACUCCUACGGUAGGCAGCAGUGGGGAAGAUUGGACAAUGGGCGAAAGCCUGAUCCAGCCAUGCGGCGUGUGGGAAGAAGUUCUUCGGAUUUUAAAGCACUUUAAUUAGGGAGGCGUUACCAACAGAAUAAGCACCUGCUAACUACGUGCCAGCAGCCGCGGUAAUAC
rnacentral:rRNA from 1 species